rnacentral:rRNA from 1 species
UACGUAGGGUGCGAGCGUUGUCCGGAAUUAUUGGGCGUAAAGAGCUCGUAGGCGGUCUGUUGCGUCGGCUGUGAAAACCCGGGGCUCAACUCCGGGCCUGCAGCCGAUACGGGCAGACUAGAGUUCGGCAGGGGAGACUGGAAUUCCUGGUGUAGCGGUGAAAUGCGCAGAUAUCAGGAGGAACACCGGUGGCGAAGGCGGGUCUCUGGGCCGAUACUGACGCUGAGGAGCGAAAGCGUGGGGAGCAAACAGG